GCAGAUUUAAUUUAGUAUGUUGCAGUUUAUCAAUUUUAGCAAGACCAAGUAGCAGACAGAUACAGAAAUACAACGUUUAGUAAUUCGAAACCAGUAUUUUUAGUACAAACCGUGGGUUUUACUUGGCUAUUGCCUAUCUUCUACAAAAAAAAAAAGAAAAAAAGGAAGAAAAGUCAAAAAGGGAAGGGAUGUGUGCUGCAGAGGUAACAUCUCCUGCACUCCUUUCCCCACUUGCAACUGCACUCCCUCGUCCCCUGCAGAAGAAGCCGACCACCCUCUCUGCACCCCAUCUUUUUAACCCUCGACAAAGAAGACUUCCAGCCACCCUAUCUCUGCUCAUCUUGCUAGCAUACUCAAGUAUGCAGCAACCAAUUUCUUCUAUUAGUAUCAACUCCCACCAGCAUUGCAAUACUCACCCACACCUCAUUUUCACCAAGAAAAAAAAAAAUCGAAGAACAGUCCCAGCUUGUUUCUGCCAAAGCUCUCAAAUUCCAGUUCAUUCAACACACCAUAACGGAAAAGCAAGAGAAAUCACUCAUUCACUCUUUGCCAGAAACUUUAAAUGAAGUUAUAUCAUAUUCCAUUCAACUCCAACAGCAACCAACACAAACAUUCAAGGUAUUAUUGUUCUCUCAGAUAUUCAAUCCAGUUUGCAUUCAAAUAUUCAAAUUGCAUAAUCAUGUUCCACCAUUACAUCAGACAGUCCACGUUAUGAACAACAAUAGAAAGACUUAUGUGUAUUACCACUGCACUCUAGAAUAGCAAUCAUGAGAACUCCCACCCUUAGAAAACAUUGAAUAGAAUUGAGAGUGUGCAGACUUAGCUUUAGGGAGAAGGGCCAAUUGCCUGUUCAGACGAGCCCAAGGGAACGGCGAACCCCUACUGCCGGAACGGAGAAGGAAGGCGGCGAACUCUCGUCGUCUCGCCUGCAUCAGAAUAGCAGCAACUGCGGCCAGACGCCGGAGCAAGGACAGACGGCGGAGGCAACCUCCGACAUAGAGUAGGGCUCGAUCUGGGGUUCUGCGUGUGGAGUAAAGAAGAAAGAGGACGACGCCGGGGUAGACGCGUCGACAGCCGACGCUGGCCGGAGCAGGCGGAAGCUGAACGGCCGGAGAAGGAGAAGCCGACCGGAGUUGAGAGGGAAAGGCCGAUCGGAUUUUGAGAGAGAGAACUGAGUUUGAAACUUCAGGGGAGAUUUAGGGCUUUUUGCUUCCCCUUUCAUGGUAGAGACGAGAAGAGAGGCGGGCACGACCGGCGCCGACUGAUUCGCCGGAUUCUGGAGCCGCGACGGCGGACUCCUCGACUGAGGGCGGUGCGAGAGAGAGAGAAGGUAAGGAGGCAGACCGGUACCAGGGUCCGGAGCAGCGGCCGCUCGACGGAUGUAGCAGACGCCGACCGGAGCAGGAGGCGGCGAGACUUCCUAACGGAAGUGGCCGAGAGGUUCUCUGUGACAAGAGAAGGAGCCGAGCAUCGUUUUUUAGAACAGAGAGAAACCGAGAGUUGUUGAGGGAGAGAAAUUGGGCUUUUACCCUUUAUUUGUGUAUUUGGGCCUCACCCUUUUUAAUUCUUUUGGGCCAAGCUUUGGGCUUUUAAAUACUUAGUGUUUGGACUUGUAUUUAAUUUGUUCUGGGCCAGCGCCUUAUUUUAAUUGCUAUGGGCUUGGUAUUUUAAUUGGGCCGAUUUUAAUUUAGUGGAAUGAGCUUGAUGAUUA